rnacentral:rRNA from 1 species
CCUACGGGCGACUGCAGUGGGGAAUAUUGCACAAUGGGGGAAACCCUGAUGCAGCGACGCCGCGUGAGUGAAGAAGUAUUUCGGUAUGUAAAGCUCUAUCAGCAGGGAAGAAAAUGACGGUACCUGAUUAAGAAGCCCCGGCUAACUACGUGCCAGCCGCCGCGGUCAUACGUAGGGGGCAAGCGUUAUCCGGAUUUACUGGGUGUAAAGGGAGCGUAGACGGCAGCACAAGUCUGGAGUGAAAUGCCGGGGCUUAACCCGGGAAGUGCGUUGGAAACUGUGGAGCUAGAGUGCAGGAGAGGUAAGUGGAAGUCCUAGGGUAGCGGUGAAAGGCGUAGAUAUGAGGAGGAAAACCAGUGGCGAAGGCGGCUUACUGGACUGUAACUGACGUUGAGGCUCGAUAGCGUGGGGAGCAAACAGGAUUAGAUACCCUUGUAGUC